rnacentral:tRNA from 2 species
GGAAUAUUAUGCCAAGACCGAAAGCUUCUAACUUUCUAAUAAGCGGUUAAAUUCCGUUUAUAUUCCU